ensembl:lncRNA SLC6A10P solute carrier family 6 member 10, pseudogene
ACGCGGGGUCGGGGCCGCCCCUGGUCCACCGCUGCUGCUCGGUGGCUGGGCCGUCCGCCUCCACCCCUCUCGCAGUCAUGUGCCUGGCAGGGUGAGGGGCGGGGGCCGGCGAUGCCCGCGAGGCUGCCCCCCAGACUCCUGGGCUGGAAGGAGCGAUUGGCCGCCGAGGUGGGAAAGCAGGCCUGCGCCUUGGGGUCUCCUCGAGGUGUGUUCCUUAUUCCCUGCAUCCUGAUAGCCCUGGUCGGAGGAAUCCCCAUUUUCUUCUUGGAGAUCUCGCUGGGCCAGUUCAUGAAGGCCGGCAGCAUCAAUGUCUGGAACAUCUGUCCCUUGUUCAAAGCUGCUGAGGACUGGAGCUACUGGGUGGCCAGGUGGAGGCUUGGACCUCCUGGAACCGCCAUGGUGGCAGUGGGACCCACAGAAGGGGCCAGGCCUGGGCUAUGCCUCCAUGGUGAUCGUCUUCUACUGCAACACCUACUACAUCAUGGUGCUGGCCUGGGGCUUCUAUUACCUGGUCAAGUCCUUUAGCACCACGCUGCCCUGGGCCACAUGUGGCCACACCUGGAACACUCCCGACUGUG